rnacentral:tRNA from 1 species
GGGAAUAGCUCAGUUGGUAGAGCACAACCUUGCUAAGGUUGGGGUCGCCUCCGGGUUAGAGAGUAGUCUCGUUUCCCA